UGUGAGCUCGAUGAGUAGGGCGGGACACGUGGUAUCCUGUCUGAAUAUGGGGGGACCAUCCUCCAAGGCUAAAUACUCCUGACUGACCGAUAGUGAACCAGUACCGUGAGGGAAAGGCGAAAAGAACCCCGGCGAGGGGAGUGAAAAAGAACCUGAAACCGUGUACGUACAAGCAGUGGGAGCACGCUUAGGCGUGUGACUGCGUACCUUUUGUAUAAUGGGUCAGCGACUUAUAUUCUGUAGCAAGGUUAACCGAAUAGGGGAGCCGAAGGGAAACCGAGUCUUAACUGGGCGUUAAGUUGCAGGGUAUAGACCCGAAACCCGGUGAUCUAGCCAUGGGCAGGUUGAAGGUUGGGUAACACUAACUGGAGGACCGAACCGACUAAUGUUGAAAAAUUAGCGGAUGACUUGUGGCUGGGGGUGAAAGGCCAAUCAAACCGGGAGAUAGCUGGUUCUCCCCGAAAGCUAUUUAGGUAGCGCCUCGUGAAUUCAUCUCCGGGGGUAGAGCACUGUUUCGGCAAGGGGGUCAUCCCGACUUACCAACCCGAUGCAAACUGCGAAUACCGGAGAAUGUUAUCACGGGAGACACACGGCGGGUGCUAACGUCCGUCGUGAAGAGGGAAACAACCCAGACCGCCAGCUAAGGUCCCAAAGUCAUGGUUAAGUGGGAAACGAUGUGGGAAGGCCCAGACAGCCAGGAUGUUGGCUUAGAAGCAGCCAUCAUUUAAAGAAAGCGUAAUAGCUCACUGGUCGAGUCGGCCUGCGCGGAAGAUGUAACGGGGCUAAACCAUGCACCGAAGCUGCGGCAGCGACGCUUAUGCGUUGUUGGGUAGGGGAGCGUUCUGUAAGCCUG
rnacentral:rRNA from 1 species